GUGGUGAUGUAGUGGUAAGCAUGCUGGCCUCUCACGCCAAAGGCCUGGGUUCGAAUCCCGGUGGAAACA
rnacentral:tRNA from 1 species